AGGACGAACGCUGGCGGCGUGCUUAACACACGCAAGUCGAGCGGUAAGGCCUUUCGGGGUACACGAGCGGCGAACGGGUGAGUAACGCGUGGGUGAUCUGCCCUGCACUUCGGGAUAAGCCUGGGAAACUGGGUCUAAUACCGGAUAUGACUUCAGGUUGCAUGACUUGGGGGUGGAAAGAUUUAUCGGGUGCAGGGAUGGGGCCCGCGGCCUAUCAGCUUGGUUGGGUGGGGUAAUGGCCUACCAAGGCGACGACGGGUAGCCGACCUGAGAGGGUGACCGGCCACACUGGGACUGAGACACGGCCCAGACUCCUACGGGAGGCAGCAGUGGGGAAUAGUUGCACAAGUGGGCGAAAGCCUGAUGGCAGCGACGCCGCGUGAGGAUGGACGGUCCGUUCGGGUUACGUAAACCUCUUUCAGCGAGGGACGAAGCGCGUAAGGUCGACGGUACCGUGACAGGAAGAACGG
rnacentral:rRNA from 1 species